rnacentral:rRNA from 1 species
CCUACGGGAGGCAGCAGUCGGGAAUAUUGGACAAUGGGCGGAAGCCUGAUCCAGCCAUGCCGCGUGUGUGAAGAAGGCCUUCGGGAUGUAAAGCACUUUUGUUGGGGAAGAAAAGCACUGGGUUAAUUCCCUGGUGUCAUGACGGUACCCAAAGAAUAAGCACCGGCUAACUUCGUGCCAGCAGCCGCGGUAAUACGAAGGGUGCAAGCGUUACUCGGAAUUACUGGGCGUAAAGCGUGCGUAGGCGGUUUGUUAAGUCUGUCGUGAAAGCCCCGGGCUCAACCUGGGAAAGCGUGCGUAGGCGNCUUGUUAAGUCUCUCGUGAAAGCCCCGGGCUCUACCUGGGAAUGGCGAUGGAUACUGGCGUGCUAGAGUACGGUAGAGGAGAGUGGAAAUGCCGGUGUAGCAGUGAAAUGCGUAGAGAUGGGGAGGAACAUCAGUUGCGAAGGCGGGUCUCUGGACCAGUACUGACGGUGAGGCACGAAUGCGUGGGGAGCAAACACGAAUAGAUACCCUGGUAGUCCACGCCGUAAUC